AGCUGGUCUAAGAGCUCGCGGACCUCAGAUAUUAGUGUGAAGUCCCCAUAGUUAUAGGAACGAUUGGGUGCUAUAGAUUUUGAGUCGUAGCAGCUUCAGUUGAUAACAUGUAACAACAUGUUGAAAGAACUGAAUUUACCUUUGAUUGACAAUCUUCUUUGAUAAUGGAACACCACUAACUAGUAGAUUCGCGUUAUCUUUAUAAAUUUCACUCUCGAUCAGACCGUAGCAGGGUUUGGAUGUGCCAAAUACCAGUGAGGUUUUCCCUUGUUUUUCAAUCUUGUAUUUUAGUCAUCACCUCGAUUGCCGAGUGGAUUCUGUGGUAGUGCCUAGUAAAGGUCCUCGGUACGCUUCCUUGAACGGGAUUUUCGCUGGCUGAAUUUGCAUAUGAUUGCACAAUACCUUACCACUCAUUCGCCCAAACGCUUCCUCGGGAUUGUUCUGCCAUCAAGCGUAAAUGCAGUUCGUUUAGAGGUCAUCCAGCACACCACGCCAAAGUGUCAGCAGUUUUGACACGCGCCGCGGUUAGGAGUCUCUUCAAAAGUGCUCACUUUGAUGACUCCCUAGGGUACCCAAAUUAUCAUCGGAAUUAUAAUAAAAAAAAACACUGUCUUGUUUUUUCAAGUUGUUUUUUCAGUGGCAGCAGCAGUUGUUCCAGUGCAAGCGUCGCUAGCCAAAGGUAUCCUUUGGCCUACCAAACUGCUAUAUGGGCUACCAAACAGUUUAAGCCCAGGCAGCUGUGUCCUUUAAUGAUAAGCAUUCAAAUGGCAAUACUACGAUAUACGUACAGCAAAAGAUACUGGUGUUUAUGGACAGAGCACUAAGUAAUUCUGACCAUGGUGUAUUAACAUCUUUCAAUAUUCAAUUAAAUAAAGGACAUCUGAAGUAAUAAAAUUCAAUCUGAAUGUUGUCUACAAA